rnacentral:rRNA from 1 species
GUGUGCGAUCAUACCAGCGUUAAUGCACCGUAUCCCAUUGGAACUCCACAGUUAAGCACGCUUGGGAUAGAGUAUUACUUGGAUGGGUGACCUU